CCUACGGGUUGCAGCAGUGGGGAAUAUUGCACAAUGGGCGCAAGCCUGAUGCAGCCAUGCCGCGUGUAUGAAGAAGGCCUUCGGGUUGUAAAGUACUUUCAGCGGGGAGGAAGGCGAUAAGGUUAAUAACCCUGUCGAUUGACGUUACCCGCAGAAGAAGCACCGGCUAACUCCGUGCCAGCAGCCGCGGUAAUACGGAGGGUGCAAGCGUUAAUCGGAAUUACUGGGCGUAAAGCGCACGCAGGCGGUCUGUCAAGUCGGAUGUGAAAUCCCCGGGCUCAACCUGGGAACUGCAUUAGAAACUGGCAGGCUGGAGUCUUGUAGAGGGGGGUAGAAUUCCAGGUGUAGCGGUGAAAUGCGUAGAGAUCUGGAGGAAUGCCGGUGGCGAAGGCGGCCCCCUGGACAAAGACCGACGCUCAGGUGCGAAAGCGUGGGGAGCAAACAGGAUUAGAUACCCUCGUAGUC
rnacentral:rRNA from 1 species